rnacentral:rRNA from 1 species
UACGAAGGGUGCAAACGUUGCUCGGAAUUAUUGGGCGUAAAGCGCACGUAGGCGGCUUAGCAAGUCGGAUGUGAAAGCCCUCGGCUCAACCAAGGAAGUGCAUCCGAAACUGCUGAGCUUGAGUACUUAAGAGGAUCGCGGAAUUCCCGGUGUAGAGGUGAAAUUCGUAGAUAUCGGGGAGGAACACCAGUGGCGAAGGCGGCGAUCUGGGGAAGAUACUGACGCUGAGGUGCGAAAGCGUGGGGAGCAAACAGG